AAUCUUUACGUUUAUACCAACAGAUUUUCCCAAAUCAACACGGAGAUAUCGUUGGUGCGCAAAAUUUGCUUCACAUAAUUGAGAAACAACUCUCGACAUCAAAAUUUGUUUCAACCGAUAAGCAGUCAACAGCAACAAAGUAACAGCUACCAAUCAACACGACAUGUGUGAGAGUGAUGCUUUAGUAGAGAGAUUGUAUUCCAGUUGGUAGAUACAGUAUAUACUACACAUAAUUUACACACUUUAUCUUACAGUCGUUGUGACGUGUGUUAGUCACUGUAUUGUAUAUCAAUUCCUUUUUACCGUUUUCACUUCACUUGUUAUUGCUAACACACACAGCAAUGUGUGUCGUCAAUGUAUUAUGUCUAGCAUAUUGUAAUGUUGAUAUAAUUGAUAUUAAUUUAUUUCUAUAAUG